UACGAAUGGGGCAAGCGUUGUUCGGAAUCACUGGGCUUAAAGCGUGCGUAGGCGGACCUCCAAGUCAGGAGUGAAAUCCCAGGGCUUAACCCUGGAAUUGCUCUUGAAACUGGUGGUCUUGAAUCCUGGAGGGGUUGGGAGAAUUCCUAGUGUAGAGGUGAAAUUCGCAGAUAUUAGGAGGAAUACCAGUGGCGUAGGCGCCCAACUGGACAGGUAUUGACGCUGAGGUACGAAAGCGUGGGUAGCAAACAGG
rnacentral:rRNA from 1 species